AACAAACGCUGGCGGCGUGCCUAAUACAUGCAAGUCGAACGGGGAAAGCUUUCGGGUGAGUACUAGUGGCGCACGGGUGAGUAACGCGUGGAUAAUCUGCCUUAGAGUGGGGGAUAACUAGUCGAAAGAUUAGCUAAUACCGCAUAAGACCACAAGAACUGCGGUUCAAGGGGUCAAAGGUUUUUCGCUCUAAGAUGAGCCCGCGUAAGAUUAGCGAGUUGGUAGGGUACCGGCCUACCAAGGCGACGAUCUUUAACUGGUCUGAGAGGAUGAUCAGUCACAAUGGAACUGAGACACGGUCCAGACUCCUACGGGAGGCAGCAGUAGGGAAUAUUGCACAAUGGAGGAAACUCUGAUGCAGCGACGCCGCGUGAGUGAUGAAGGCCUUCGGGUCGUAAAGCUCUGUCGCAGGGGAAUAACACAAUGAAGGUACCCUGUAAGAAAGGAUCGGCUAACUUCGUGCCAGCAGCCGCCGUAACAC
rnacentral:rRNA from 1 species